CAAUAGCGUAUAUUAAAGUUGUUGCAGUUAAAAAGCUCGUAGUUGGAUUUGUGGCGUAUGGUGUGUUCCGGGCACUUGUUGUCUGAGUAACCUGCUGUUGCCAUCCUUGGGUGGAACCUGUGUGGCAUUAGGUUGUCGUGCAGGGGAUGCCCAUCAUUUACUGUGAAAAAAUUAGAGUGUUCAAAGCAGGCUUAUGCCGUUGAAUAUAUUAGCAUGGAAUAAUGAGAUAGGACUUUUUUGCUAUUUUGUUGGUUUGCGCAAGAAGGUAAUGAUUAAUAGGGACAGUUGGGGGUAUUCGUAUUCCAUUGUCAGAGGUGAAAUUCUUGGAUUUUUGGAAGACGAACUACUGCGAAAGCAUUUACCAAGGAUGUUUUCAUUAA
rnacentral:rRNA from 1 species